UACGUAGGGUGCGAGCGUUGUCCGGAAUUAUUGGGCGUAAAGAGCUCGUAGGCGGUCUGUCGCGUCGGAUGUGAAAGCCCGGGGCUUAACUCCGGGUCUGCAUUCGAUACGGGCAGACUAGAGUGUGGUAGGGGAGAUCGGAAUUCCUGGUGUAGCGGUGAAAUGCGCAGAUAUCAGGAGGAACACCGAUGGCGAAGGCAGGUCUCUGGGCUGUAACUGACGCUGAGGAGCGAAAGCAUGGGGAGCGAACAGG
rnacentral:rRNA from 1 species